UUGCUCGCAUGGUAGGAGAGCGUUCCGUAAGCCUGCGAAGGUGCCUUGUAAAGGGUGCUGGAGGUAUCGGAAGUGCGAAUGCUGACAUGAGUAGCGAUAAAGGGGGUGAAAGGCCCCCUCGCCGUAAGCCCAAGGUUUCCUACGCAACGUUCAUCGGCGUAGGGUGAGUCGGCCCCUAAGGCGAGGCAGAAAUGCGUAGCUGAUGGGAAGCAGGUCAAUAUUCCUGCACCAUUGUUAGAUGCGAUGGGGGGACGGAUCGCGGAAGGUUGUCCGGGUGUUGGAAGUCCCGGUCGCUGCAUUGGAGAAGGCGCUUAGGCAAAUCCGGGCGCGUAAUUCAAGGGUGUGGCGCGAGCUCCUUAGGGAGCGAAGCAAUUGGAAGUGGUUCCAAGAAAAGCCUCUAAGCUUCAGUCUAACGAUGACCGUACCGCAAACCGACACAGGUGGGCGAGAUGAGUAUUCUAAGGCGCUUGAGAGAACUCGGGAGAAGGAACUCGGCAAAUUGGUACCGUAACUUCGGGAUAAGGUACGCCCUUGUAGCUUGACUGGCCUGCGCCAGGAGGGUGAAGGGGUUGCAAUAAACUGGUGGCUGCGACUGUUUAAUAAAAACACAGCACUCUGCAAACACGAAAGUGGACGUAUAGGGUGUGACGCCUGCCCGGUGCCGGAAGAUUAAAUGAUGGGGUGCAAGCUCUUGAUUGAAGUCCCGGUAAACGGCGGCCGUAACUAUAACGGUCCUAAGGUAGCGAAAUUCCUUGUCGGGUAAGUUCCGACCUGCACGAAUGGCGUAACGAUGGCCACACUGUCUCCUCCCGAGACUCAGCGAAGUUGAAGUGUUUGUGAUGAUGCAAUCUACCCGCGGCUAGACGGAAAGACCCCAUGAACCUUUACUGUAGCUUUGCAUUGGACUUUGAACCGAUCUGUGUAGGAUAGGUGGGAGGCUAUGAAACCGGAACGCUAGUUUCGGUGGAGCCGUCCUUGAAAUACCACCCUGGUUUGUUUGAGGUUCUAACCUUGGCCCGUGAUCCGGGUCGGGGACAGUGCAUGGUAGGCAGUUUGACUGGGGCGGUCUCCUCCCAAAGCGUAACGGAGGAGUACGAAGGUACGCUAGGUACGGUCGGAAAUCGUGCUGAUAGUGCAAUGGCAUAAGCGUGCUUAACUGCGAGACCGACAAGUCGAGCAGGUGCGAAAGCAGGUCAUAGUGAUCCGGUGGUUCUGUAUGGAAGGGCCAUCGCUCAACGGAUAAAAGGUACUCUGGGGAUAACAGGCUGAUACCGCCCAAGAGUUCAUAUCGACGGCGGUGUUUGGCACCUCGAUGUCGGCUCAUCUCAUCCUGGGGCUGUAGCCGGUCCCAAGGGUAUGGCUGUUCGCCAUUUAAAGAGGUACGUGAGCUGGGUUUAAAACGUCGUGAGACAGUUUGGUCCCUAUCUGCCGUGGGCGUUGGAUAUUUGAAGGGGGCUGCUCCUAGUACGAGAGGACCGGAGUGGACGAACCUCUGGUGUACCGGUUGUCACGCCAGUGGCAUCGCCGGGUAGCUAUGUUCGGAAGAGAUAACCGCUGAAAGCAUCUAAGCGGGAAACUCGCCUUAAGAUGAGAUAUCCCUGGGGACUAGAUCCCCUUGAAGGGUCGUUCGAGACCAGGACGUUGAUAGGUCAGGUGUGUAAGCGCAGUAAUGCGUUCAGCUAACUGAUACUAAUUGCCCGUAAGGCUUGAUCCU
rnacentral:rRNA from 1 species